GAAGCUAAUUCUAGUAGGAAAAUAAUUGAGCAAGAGCAUAUUUUCGAUAUGCGUCAGAUAAUUAUAAAAUAAAGAAAACAAAAUCUGAUAUUCGAAAAUUCCAGUUAUCAUGUUGCACUACUCAAGCAUUCUUUUAGCAACGAUCAUGUUCCUGCCUGGUAGCUCUCAGGAGUCAGUGUGUAAACUGUACAGAGUAUUGGCACAGCGGCCGUUUGAUAGAUGAAACGGGAUACUUUUGUGAACGCGGUGCCUCAAUAUCUGAAGUUUACUUGAAAGAGGAGGACUACGCGACUAGUACACCGAAUCCAAACAGCUUGUGGGCUACCUGCGUACCAUAUCCAUACCGAUUAGAACAUGUCGCAAAAUACUGCUGUUUCUGGUCGCAAAACUUUGGCUGCAAUGCCGCUAUAGGCGUUACAAUUUACCCUUAUGGAAAUCCUGUAAGGUUUUGCGAAAAGUGCAGGAAUAAAUGCUCUCGCCCUGCUGACAGUGUUGGGCUAGCACCCACAAAAUGGUUCAUUAUAUGCUGUCUGUCGAUCAUGCGAGUGCUAUGACUGCGCAAAUUGCUAGACAAUAGAAGUUUUUUAAUUCAUCGUAAAGUCCUUUCCCAGAUUUAGAAAUUUUGUCGCGUAUGCUAGUGUCAGAUUUAUAAUUUGUUUUCAUUACAUAAAUAACUAUUCAUAAUGAUAAUCCCACUUUAUUGUCACUCCCUAAUUAAUUAAGUAUUUAGGAACAGCAUGAAAUGAAAUAUGUGUUAAAUGGAAAUGGAAAUGUAGAAAACGAAAUAAUCUAAGUGAACACAUUGAAUGAAACUGAAACCUAAAACAAUGAACGAAAAUCUACAUAAAAGUGUGCGAAUUUUGAAAUUAAAUACGAUUGCGAAUACGCAGAGGCAAAUAGAGUUGAAAAGCGAGAACAAAAAUGUGAUUUCUAUUGUGCCUGUUGUUUAUUAUAAUUUGUAUUUGUAUUCGGGUGACGUUAUUUGCUUAUGAUUUCAAAGCAUUGCCUUGCUCUUGUCUGUGGUCAGUAUUUGGUUCUAUUGUCCAAUGUUCGUUCAUGUUGACAAAGUAUUUCGUGUGUAGUUGAUACGGAACACAUGUUCAAUGAAAUGUGCGGCAAUUUGGAAGAGAAACACAAUUGAUGUGAGUCAAUGAUAAGGAAUUGAUGAAUCGGGAAGUUGUCCAACCGUACUUUGCAAAAGAUUCUAUUCACAACCAUUUCGGAUACUCCUAAUCAAGAGUCACCUCGCUUUAGUGAUGCUCCACUUUUUGUAAUAUUGACUUAACGGCCACACUGAAGUUUGUAGUUGUUCGCUUAGCGGUCACACUCGAGAAAGCAGACCGAAGAAGAAACUAUUUUUCAGUUAGCGUUUUUUACAAUAUCUAAUAAAACGAACUUAGGAGAUUGUGGUCAACA